rnacentral:rRNA from 1 species
GAUGAACGCUGGCGGCGUGCCUAACACAUGCAAGUCGAACGGAACUUUUACGGAUUGAGACUUCGGUCGAUUGAAGUUUAAGUUUAGUGGCGGACGGGUGAGUAACGCGUGAGUAACCUGCCUUUCACAGGGGGAUAACGUUUGGAAACGAACGCUAAUACCGCAUAACAUAGCGAGACCGCAUGAUCUUGCUAUCAAAGAUUUUAUCGGUGAAAGAUGGACUCGCGUCCGAUUAGGUAGUUGGUGAGGUAACGGCCCACCAAGCCGACGAUCGGUAGCCGGACUGAGAGGUUGAACGGCCACAUUGGGACUGAGACACGGCCCAGACUCCUACGGGAGGCAGCAGUGGGGAAUAUUGCACAAUGGGGGAAACCCUGAUGCAGCGACGCCGCGUGAGCGAUGAAGUAUUUCGGUAUGUAAAGCUCUAUCAGCAGGGAGAAAAUGACGGUACCUGACUAAGAAGCACCGGCUAAAUACGUG